rnacentral:rRNA from 1 species
GAUGAACGCUGGCGGCGUGCCUAACACAUGCAAGUCGAACGGAAAGACCUGCUUUUCCUUGUGGUGUCGGGGUACGCGGGUGGGGGACGGACGAGUGAAAAGUGAGUGUUCUGGCCCCGAAUUGGGUAGAAGCCUGGGAAACAGGGCCUAAUAACCGAUAGGACUGCAGGGUGGUGUCGGUGGUGGCGGACGUGCUGUUAGUGGUUGGGGGAGAGGCUGCGGCUUAGCAGCUUGUUGGUGGGGUAGUGGCCUAAGGAGGCGACGAUGGGCAGCCGGCCCGGGCGGGAGAUCGGCCACACUGGCACUGAGACACGGUCCCGGCUCCUACGCGAGGCAGCAGUAGGGGAUGGUACGCAAUGGGCGAAGGCGUGACCCUGCAGCGCCGCGUGCGUGAGGAAGGUCUUCGGCUUGUAAUGCUCUGCUCUUAGCGAAGACCAAGUAGGCACCUAGCUGGGAGGGUGUUGACGGUACCGGAAGAAGAAGCACCGGCUAACUACGUG